rnacentral:rRNA from 1 species
CAAUAGCGUAUAUUAAAGUUGUUGCAGUUAAAAAGCUCGUAGUUGGAUUUGUGGUUGGAGCGACCGGCCCGUCACUCAGUGUCGGUGUUUGUGUCGUCUCCGUCCAUCCUUGGGUGGAAGCAGCGUGGCAUUGAGUUGUCGUGCUGGGGAUACCCAUCGUUUACUGUGAAAAAAUUAGAGUGUUCAAAGCAGGCUUACGCCGUUGAAUAUAUUAGCAUGGAAUAAUAAGAUAGGACCUGGGUACUAUUUUGUUGGUUUGCGCACCCUGGUAAUGAUUAAUAGGGACAGUUGGGGGUAUUCGUAUUCCAUUGUCAGAGGUGAAAUUCUUGGAUUUCUGGAAGACGAACUAAUGCGAAAGCAUUUACCAAGGAUGUUUUCAUUAA